UACGUAGGGUGCAAGCGUUGUUCGGAAUUACUGGGCGUAAAGGGCUCGUAGGCGGCCAACUAAGUCAGACGUGAAAUCCCUCGGCUUAACCGGGGAACUGCGUCUGAUACUGGAUGGCUAGAGGUUGGGAGAGGGAUGCGGAAUUCCAGGUGUAGCGGUGAAAUGCGUAGAUAUCUGGAGGAACACCGGUGGCGAAGGCGGCAUCCUGGACCAAUUCUGACGCUGAUGAGCGAAAGCCAGGGGAGCAAACGGG
rnacentral:rRNA from 1 species